UACGGAGGGUGCAAACGUUGCUCGGAAUCAUUGGGCGUAAAGCGCACGUAGGCGGUUUGUCGCGUCUGCUGUGAAAACCCGAGGCUCAACCUCGGGCCUGCAGUGGGUACGGGCAGACUAGAGUGCGGUAGGGGAGAUUGGAAUUCCUGGUGUAGCGGUGGAAUGCGCAGAUAUCAGGAGGAACACCAAUGGCGAAGGCAGAUCUCUGGGCCGUAACUGACGCUGAGGAGCGAAAGCAUGGGGAGCGAACAGG
rnacentral:rRNA from 1 species